UACGUAGGGUGCGAGCGUUGUCCGGAAUUAUUGGGCGUAAAGAGCUCGUAGGCGGUCUGUCGCGUCGGUCGUGAAAACUUGGGGCUUAACCCUGAGCUUGCGGUCGAUACGGGCAUGACUGGAGUUCGGCAGGGGAGACUGGAAUUCCUGGUGUAGCGGUGAAAUGCGCAGAUAAUCAGGAGGAACAGCCGUGGCGAAGGCGGGAUCUCGUGGGCCGAAGUGACUGACGCUUGGAGGAGCGAAAGCCGUGGGGAGGCGAACAGGA
rnacentral:rRNA from 1 species